rnacentral:misc_RNA from 1 species
CAAGAAUGGAUGCUGACGCGCCCUCGGGCGUCGUCGGUCCACUCAUCACCUUGCCUACUGCACCGUUUGUUGCUUCCUGGCGGCGGCAGCCCCGCCGCCAGGUGCUCAUAAAGCCCUGUAUAAGCAUUCUAAGACCCUGAUACAUACAAAUCGUA